rnacentral:rRNA from 1 species
GAUGAACGCUAGCGGGAGGCCUAACACAUGCAAGCCGAGCGGUAUGGAUAGCUUGCUAUCCAGAGAGCGGCGUACGGGUGCGUAACACGUGUGCAACCUACCUUUAUCUGGGGGAUAGCCUUUCGAAAGGAAGAUUAAUACCCCAUAAUAUAAUGAUUGGCACCAAUUAUUAUUGAAAACUCCGGUGGAUAGAGAUGGGCACGCGCAAGAUUAGAUAGUUGGUGAGGUAACGGCUCACCAAGUCAAUGAUCUUUAGGGGUCCUGAGAGGGAGAUCCCCCACACUGGUACUGAGACACGGACCAGACUCCUACGGGAGGCAGCAGUGAGGAAUAUUGGACAAUGGGUGAGAGCCUGAUCCAGCCAUCCCGCGUGAAGGAUGACGGUCCUAUGGAUUGUAAACUUCUUUUGUACAGGGAUAAACCUACCCUCGUGAGGGUAGCUGAAGGUACUGUACGAAUAAGCACCGGCUAACUCCGUG